GACGAACGCUGGCGGCGUGCCUAAUACAUGCAAGUGAAGUUCAGUGGCGGACGGGUGCGUAACACGUGGGUAACCUACCCAUCAAAGGGGGAUAACCCUUGGAAACGGGGUCUAAUACCGAAUAAAGGGGGAUGGGCUCUCGGCCUAUCAGCUUGUUGGUGGGGUGAUGGCCUACCAAGGCGGGGACGGGUAGCCGGCCUGAGAGGGUGACCGGCCACAUUGGGACUGGGAUACGGCCCAGGCUCGUACGGGUGGCAGCAGUGGGGGAUAUGGCACAAUGGUCGAAAGCCUGAUGCAGCGACGCCGCGGGGGGGAUGAGGGCUUUCGGGUUGUAAACCUUUGUGGCUAGCGAACGGGUAGGUGGAGAAGAAGCGCCGGCUAACUACGUGCCAGCCGCCGCGGUAAUAC
rnacentral:rRNA from 1 species